rnacentral:rRNA from 1 species
AUUGAACGCUGGCGGCAUGCCUUACACAUGCAAGUCGAACGGCAACAGGUCUUCGGAUGCUGACGAGUGGCGAACGGGUGAGUAAUACAUCGGAACGUGCCCGAGAGAGGGGGAUAACGAGGCGAAAGCUUUGCUAAUACCGCAUACGAUCUCAGGAUGAAAGCAGGGGACCGCAAGGCCUUGCGCUCACGGAGCGGCCGAUGGCAGAUUAGGUAGUUGGUGGGAUAAAAGCUUACCAAGCCGACGAUCUGUAGCUGGUCUGAGAGGACGACCAGCCAGACUGGGAAUGAGACGCGGCCCAGACUCCUACGGGAGGCAGCAGUGGGGAAUUUUGGACAAUGGGCGCAAGCCUGAUCCAGCCCUGCCGCGUGCAGGAUGAAGGCCUUCGGGUUGUAAACUGCUUUUGUACGGAACGAAAGGACUCCUUCUAAUAAAGGGGGUCCAUGACGGUACCGUAGGAAUAAGCACCGGCUAACUACGUGCCAGCCGCCGCCGUAACAC